rfam:Firmicutes bacterium CAG:646 genomic scaffold, scf85
AAAAUUCUUCGGGGCGGGGCGUAAUUCCCCACCGGCGGUAAAGUCCGCGACCCAUGGCAGCAUGGCUGAACCGGUGAGAUUCCGGUACCGACAGUAUAGUCUGGAUGAGAGAAGAAGAGA